rnacentral:rRNA from 1 species
AUACGUAGGUGGCAAGCGUUGUCCGGAAUUAUUGGGCGUAAAGCGCGCGCAGGCGGCUUCUUAAGUCUGAUGUGAAAUCUUGCGGCUCAACCGCAAGCGGUCAUUGGAAACUGGGAGGCUUGAGUGCAGAAGAGGAGAGUGGAAUUCCACGUGUAGCGGUGAAAUGCGUAGAGAUGUGGAGGAACACCAGUGGCGAAGGCGGCUCUCUGGUCUGUAACUGACGCUGAGGCGCGAAAGCGCGGGGAGCAAACAGGAUGAGAUACCCUGGUAGUCCACGCCGUAAACGAUGAGUGCUAAGUGUUAGAGGGUUUCCGCCCUUUAGUGCUGCAGCUAACGCAUUAAGCACUCCGCCUGGGGAGUACGGCCGCAAGGCUGAA